rnacentral:miRNA from 5 species
UGGCAAGAUGUUGGCAUAGCUG